rnacentral:rRNA from 1 species
GGCGGACGGGUGAGUAACACGUGGGUAACCUACCUAUAAGACUGGAAUAACUCCGGGAAACCGGGGCUAAUACCGGAUAAUAUUUGGAACCGCAUGGUUCUAAAGUGAAAGAUGGUUUUGCUAUCACUUAUAGAUGGACCCGCGCCGUAUUAGCUAGUUGGUGGGGUAAUGGCUUACCAAGGCAACGAUACGUAGCCGACCUGAGAGGGUGAUCGGCCACACUGGAACUGAGACACGGUCCAGACUCCUACGGGAGGCAGCAGUAGGGAAUCUUCCGCAAUGGGCGAAAGCCUGACGGAGCAACGCCGCGUGAGUGAUGAAGGGCUUCGGCUCGUAAAACUCUGUUAUUAGGGAAGAACAAAUGUGUAAGUAACUGUGCACGUCUUGACGGUACCUAAUCAGAAAGCCACGGCUAACUACGUGCCAGCAGCCGCGGUAAUACGUAGGUGGCAAGCGUUAUCCGGGAAUUAUUGGGCGUAAAGCGCGCGUAGGCGGUUUUCUUAAGUCUGAUGUGAAAGCCCACGGCUCAACCGUGGAGGGUCAUUGGAAACUGGGAAACUUGAGUGCAGAAGAGGAAAGUGGAAUUCCAUGUGUAGCGGUGAAAUGCGCAGAGAUAUGGAGGAACACCAGUGGCGAAGGCGACUUUCUGGUCUGUAACUGACGCUGAUGUGCGAAAGCGUGGGGAUCAAACAGGAUUAGAUACCCUGGUAGUCCACGCCGUAAACGAUGAGUGCUAAGUGUUAGGGGGUUUCCGCCCCUUAGUGCUGCAGCUAACGCAUUAAGCACUCCGCCUGGGGAGUACGACCGCAAGGUUGAAACUCAAAGGAAUUGACGGGGACCCGCACAAGCGGUGGAGCAUGUGGUUUAAUUCGAAGCAACGCGAAGAACCUUACCAAAUCUUGACAUCCUUUGAAAACUCUAGAGAUAGAGCCUUCCCCUUCGGGGGACAAAGUGACAGGUGGUGCAUGGUUGUCGUCAGCUCGUGUCGUGAGAUGUUGGGUUAAGUCCCGCAACGAGCGCAACCCUUAAGCUUAGUUGCCAGCAUUAAGUUGGGCACUCUAAGUUGACUGCCGGUGACAAACCGGAGGAAGGUGGGGAUGACGUCAAAUCAUCAUGCCCCUUAUGAUUUGGGCUACACACGUGCUACAAUGGACAAUACAAAGGGCAGCUAAACCGCGAGGUCAUGCAAAUCCCAUAAAGUUGUUCUCAGUUCGGAUUGUAGUCUGCAACUCGACUACAUGAAGCUGGAAUCGCUAGUAAUCGUAGAUCAGCAU